CGCGUAGGCGGUGCUCUAAGUCGGAUGUGAAAACUCUGGGCUCAACCCAGAGCCUGCAUCCGAAACUGGAGUGCUAGAGUUCUGGAGGGGGUAGCGGAAUUCCUGGUGUAGCGGUGAAAUGCGUAGAUAUCAGGAGGAACACCGGUGGCGAAGGCGGCUACCUGGACAGAAACUGACGCUGAGGCGCGAAAGCUAGGGGAGCAAACA
rnacentral:rRNA from 1 species